rnacentral:rRNA from 1 species
AGCGAACGCUGGCGGCAGGCCUAACACAUGCAAGUCGAACGAACUCUUCGGAGUUAGUGGCGGACGGGUGAGUAACACGUGGGAACGUGCCUUUUGGUUCGGAAUAACUCAGGGAAACUUGUGCUAAUACCGAAUGUGCCCUUCGGGGGAAAGAUUUAUCGCCAUUAGAGCGGCCCGCGUCUGAUUAGCUAGUUGGUGAGGUAACGGCUCACCACGGCGACGAUCAGUAGCUGGUCUGAGAGGAUGACCAGCCACACUGGGACUGAGACACGGCCCAGACUCCUACGGGAGGCAGCAGUGGGGAAUCUUGCGCAAUGGGCGAAAGCCUGACGCAGCCAUGCCGGGUGAAUGAUGAAGGUCUUAGGAUUGUAAAAUUCUUUCACCGGGGACGAUAAUGACGGUACCCGGAGAAGAAGCCCCGGCUAACUUCGUG